UAUAUAUGUAAUUAUGUAUAAUUAUAAUGUAUAUAUGUAUCUAUAUAUACAAAACUCUCCAUCAGAUAUUCUUUUAGAGUAUUCUAAGUUCUAGUCAAAUUGGCCU